GANUNUAUUUGAUCAUGGCUCAGAUUGACCGCUGGCUGCAAGCCCCCUAACACAUGCAAGUCGAGCGGCAGCACAAGUAAGUUUACUUAUGAGNGUGGCGAGCGGCGGACGGGUGAGUAAUGCCUAGGGAUCUGCCCAGUCGAGGGGGGUAACAGUUGGAAACGACUGCCUACAUACCNGCAUACUGCCCCUACGUGUGUGUGAAACUGAGGNGGUGACCCUUCGGUGACCUUCCUCGCCUGCACCUUUGGCACCUUGGAACCUUACUGUCGCUUGCUGCGCAACUUUUCACCGGCCUUACUGGCUUUGCGCCUCGGACAGUCGGUUGUNUUUCAGCAACCUUGUGGUCUGGGCCCGUCGUUUCCCGCUNAUAUACCCUCCCCCUCAAACCAAAGCGNGUCGGGCGACAACACUAGCUCGUGGUCGUAAAAACACCCUCGNGUGGNCNNAAAACACUUUUUUUCCCAACCCNACCCACAAUUUUUAAAACAAUGGACGAANACACCNCCGUUUUUUGUGNGUGGCGUGUUUUUAUUUUUUACCCCAGUG
rnacentral:rRNA from 1 species